UGUGCAAGGAAUCUUAUAUAG
rnacentral:piRNA from 1 species